UGUUAAAUUAUAGUUGUUUCAGUAAAAAUGAAGUAUGAUUCAGUGAUUUCCAGAAGCAUUCAUCGGCUUGAGCAGAAGAGACUAAGAUAUGGAGCAUUUCCUUGUUUCUUCCUGAUAGCAUUAUGCUUUCGCAUAGUGCUCGAGCUUGGUCUGAUUCGACCAGCUUUGAACUUGCAGCUGUCAGUAUUCAAAGGUGAACUUGACUGGGAGAUGGGAAUCGAAAGAUAUUAUAGAUGUCAGUCUUGAAGUAGGAGACUUUGGUCUACGGGAAAAUGAGAGACAUGAACCAGAUGCAGAGACAAAUAUUGCAGAAGUUGUGACAAAGAAUUUGGAGCUGAUUUGCAAUGUUAAGGGAUGGAGAAAUGUGUUUUGCGAGAUCAAAAAGGAUGUUCGGGUGGAUGGGAAAUCGGCUCCAGUGUUUAUUGUUUCAUCUGAAAUGGAUCUAGGAAAUGGAAUAGCUCCUGGACAAUAAGACCAUAUGCUCGAAAAGAAGAUAAAAGGGCAAUGAGGGAUACACGAAAAUGGUCAGUGCAACAAGUAACUAGUUUCCAGGAAAUGCCUCAAUGUACACGAAAUCACACUGUUCCAGGCAUCUUGUUUUCAACUGGAGGAUAUACAGGAAACCAUUUCCAUGAAUUUGCUGAUGUGGUUAUUCCGCUCUAUAUUAAUUCUCAAAAAUAUGAUGGAGAAGUUCAAUUUCUUAUCACUGACAAACGAUCUUGGUGGAUUACAAAGGACAAAGCAGUACUACAAGGACCAUCCAAGUAUGAGGCUAUUAACAUUGAUGAAGAUGUAGUCCAUUGCUUCCCAAUCACAACAGUUGGCCUUAAACGACAUCCCAAGGAUCUGAUCCUUGAUCCUUCACUAUAUUCCUAUUCUAUGAAAGAGAUUUCCUAGGAAACACAUAUUCCUUGAACAAAGCUAAUGCAAUCAGAAUCCGAGAUGUUCAACGUAAAAAACCCCGACUCCUGAUCAUAUCUAGAAGCAGAACGAGGUCUUUCACAAAUACAGAGGAAAUUACUAGGAUGGCUAGAAGCUUGGGAUAUGAGGUAACUGUUGCAGAGGCUGACAAAAACAUGUCAAAAAUCGCAGAAGUUGUGAAUUCUAGUGAUGUGUUAAUGGGACUCCAUGGAGCUGGCCUUGCAAACAUUCUUUUCCAUCCUGAAAAUGCAAUUUUUAUUCAAAUACUUCCUGUAGGAGGAUUCGAAUGGACUGCAGCAAACUACUUCCGAGAGCCUUCAAGAGAUAUGAAUCUGAAGUAUUUGGAAUACAAGAUAAGCAAGGAGAGCAUAUUGGAAAGUGAACCCCAAUUGAAUAAAAAAAAAAAAGGGGAUGGGAAGAGAGUUUGACUUGGAAUUCUGAAAAGACAGAAUCUAAAGCUUGAUGUCGAUAGGCUUAGGUCGACUUUGUUAAAAGCCCUGGAGCUUCUGCAUCAGUAAUCAGUUGCUUAUUUUCUAGUCGUAACAAGCUCCUCCCGAAAUCUUUUCCUUUAAGAAGAUAAUGCCAUUAGUCAAGAGCUCGCUAAUAAGCUUAUGUGAUUUGUGUACCAGAGUCAACAAAAGUUGAAAUGCAGUUCAUAUAGCUUAAUGUGCUCUUCUUUUACUCUAUUAUAUAGACUCAAUGAGAGCAUUUAGCAGAUGGAGAGCACUAAUGUGUUUGCUCGGUCAGUUGUACGGCGAGAAUGCAACAAUUGAAACCUCUACACAACACG